UACGUAGGCAGCAAGCGUUGUUCGGAGUUACUGGGCGUAAAGGGUGCGUAGGCGGCCGUGUAAGUGUGGUGUGAAAUCUCCCGGCUCAACUGGGAGGGUGCGCCGGAUACUGAGGGGCUAGAGUGUGGGAGAGGAAAGUGGAAUUCCUGGUGUAGCGGUGAAAUGCGUAGAUAUCAGGAGGAACACCGGUGGUGUAAACGGCUUUCUGGACCAUAACUGACGCUGAGGCACGAAAGCGUGGGUAGCAAACAGG
rnacentral:rRNA from 1 species